CCUUUGGUAGUCUAGUUGGUUAUGGCGUUCGGCUGUAAUUGAAGAAUGAUUAUUGUUUACCGAAAAGUCACCGGUUCGAUUCCGGUCCGAGGGA